rnacentral:rRNA from 1 species
UACGUAGGGUGCGAGCGUUGUCCGGAAUUAUUGGGCGUAAAGGGCUCGUAGGCGGUUUGUCGCGUCGGGGAGUGAAACUCAGGGCUUAACCCUGAGCCUGCUUCCGAUACGGGCAGACUAGAGGUAUGCAGGGGAGAAUGGAAUUCCUGGUGUAGCGGUGAAAUGCGCAGAUAUCAGGAGGACACCGGUGGCGAAGGCGGUUCUCUGGGCAUUACCUGACGCUGAGGAGCGAAAGUGUGGGGAGCGAACAGG